rnacentral:lncRNA from 1 species
AAUGGCACACCCAAAGCUGGAACAGGGUAACUUUUCAGUGUUCCUACUGAGCACAUUUCCCAGGAUCAGCGGCCGAAUGUCCCGAGUGUGGCGUCAUGGCCACCCAGGUCGCUGUGCAUCACCCAGGUGUCUGGUGUUCUGGAGGAAGCCCCAGCCUGGGUCUCUGAACCCCCAAGUUCAAGGCAUAUCUGCACUGACUGGUACUGGACUCACCCAUCCAUUUAUUUCAUCUUAAUGUAGUUUAUUGGCAAUGCCAUAGAACACUAGCCCCUUGCAUUCUGCAUUUCUUUUUUACCCAUUCAUGACUACAAACAGGAAAGCGUCACUUGGUGAAUGCAAUCUUUUUGUUUUAAAACCUAGAAGACGGGUGAAUGGAAAGGGGAGAGGUUCUGAUACUGUGUCUGAACAAAGCUUUAAUGAAGAUACGUAUGUUGGAAGUAUUAUGAAAGUGUGAUUCUAAUUUUGCAGAAAAAAAUGUCUAUCAAUUUAUAUAGCUUUAUUUUUUACCUUAUCAAGAGAUAGAGAAUUUUAAUAUGCAUAUAUUGUCUAAUCAUGUGUGUCAGCAUUACCACUUAAAAUGUCCACCUACUAUGUCAUGUAUGAGUAAGAGAGAAUCAAAGAUGUAUCUAACAUGAAUGGUUAUCUGUAACUGUCAUUGUCAUAAGAACUGGGAUUGAUUUAAGUUAUCAAAUAUAGUAAGUACAUUAAACAUGUCAUUCUCCAACACUAAUGUCGGACUGAGAGCCCAGUAAGCUGCUUUGAAACUUGUAAAUUAAACCGGAUCAAACGUC